rnacentral:tRNA from 1 species
UGGGGUGUCGCCAAAUUGGUUAAGGCACAGGACUUUGACUCCUGCACUCGCUGGUUCGAAUCCAGUCACCCCAGCCA